rnacentral:piRNA from 1 species
UUUUGCAGUUGCAAUGUUUGU